UUUACCCGUGUAUGUAGGUAUACGUAAUAUGCAUACGCGCACGUAAAAACCACAACUCAUUAACACCGCACCGUUUCGGUUUUGCUUCGUUGUAAUUAUGUUUUUUGUUUUAAUUACUGCAGUAUAUAAAUCGCGGUAAACGAACCUCCGCGUACUCGACGGUCAGCUAAUUCGGUAAAAGUUGCACGUGUUUGGAAUGAUUUUUUUUUUUUACUGAAGAUGGUCAAAAAAUACCUACCAGCGCACGCAGGCAGAUACCUACCUACCUACCAGUAUACCUAUAUCAAACAUCAAUGGCGGAUGUUGACCGAAAGCAGAUUUUCAUUUUACCGGAAACGGAUCAAUUUUGAGUAAAUUUGAAGAAAAAAAAAUGUCCGUUACCAGAGUUACCUAUACCUAUCCAAUAGCCAAACCACGAGUACAAUUUAUAUAAGCUAUCUCGUUGCGGAUCUUGAUUAAUAUUUAGUGGGCCUGGCCUAUUGAUACACUGAGUGAUGAUCGUUGUACUUAUUUCUCGGUUAACGAAAGGAAAAGUACACUUGGAAUUUGGAUGAGGAAGACAUUAUGAUAACAGAAUUUCACAUUUUUAUGGAAAAUAUGCCUCAUACCUAUAAAACGUACAUUGGAGUGCUCGAUGAAACCUUGAAGAUUUACUACAAUUUACGUACCUAUAGUAGUACUUACUACUUGAAACUUGCGUACUAUACGAAGAGGCAAAUAACCCCGCUGGUUUUACUAUACACAACAAUGAUAGGAACCGAACCUACCGAAAAGAUAUUCAUUUGUAUUGUAUUUAAAAAGAUUAUAAUAAGUACCUAGUUUGUGAUACCUAUACGUAUUUCUUUGAUCAGCGAUCAAUCAGUCAUCAUGUAAAACGUUCUCGCUACAAACGAUUCCGAAAAUACUUACCAGCUAAAAAGGAUUAAUUCCAGUACUCGGUACGCAAACUAUUACCUCUAUUAUUGAACUUCGAUCAUUAUUAUAUUAUCAUCUGCUUAACACGAUAAAAUAAUCCGAUUGAAAACUCGUCGAAAAUCUCCAUGGGAUUGGAGUUGGGACGCGAUUAAACGCCCUCAUCGAUGAUUACGUUUGGGUAGGUACCUAUACAUAAAUGUAUAUUGCAAGUAAUGUGACCGAAAUGUUCGAGUACCCGAUUUCGUCGAAUUAAUUAAUAAUUUACUGACCAGAAAAUACGAAAAUAAAUCAAUUUUUGCCAUCUUUUAUCUGCAUUUUUCACACAUUUUUAGUGACGGUGCAGGAGUAAUUAACGAGUUAAAAUGUUGUACUGCACUUGCUUUAUGUUAAAUAUCAAUUAGAGUUACGUAGAUAUAAAGAAAGAUAUCUGUAUGCGGUUGUGAUGUACAUUGUAAUUAUUCAUUAACCCAGUAUUUGCACUUGUUUUAUCUUAUCGACUAUUCACGCCUCUUUGGCUCUUUGUAAAUACACUCGACAAAGAAAC